rnacentral:rRNA from 1 species
AGCAGCCGCCGCGGUAAAACGAAGGGUGCAAGCGUUACUCGGAAUUACUGGGCGUAAAGCGUGCGUAGGUGGUGGUUUAAGUCCGUUGUGAAAGCCCUGGGCUCAACCUGGGAAUUGCAGUGGAUACUGGGUCACUAGAGUGUGGUAGAGGAUAGUGGAAUUUCCGGUGUAGCAGUGAAAUGCGUAGAGAUCGGAAAGAACACCAACGGCGAAAGCACUCUGCUGGGCCGACACUGACACUGAGAGACGAAAGCUAGGGGAGCAAAUGGGAUUAGAUACCCCGGUAGUCCCUGUCUCUUAUAC